GGGGAUAUAGCUCAGUUGGUAGAGCGGAGCUCUUGCAA
rnacentral:tRNA from 1 species